GACGAACGCUGGCGGCGUGCUUAACACAUGCAAGUCGAGCGGAGCGGCGAACGGGAGAGUAACGCGUGAGUAACUGCCCCCCUCCCUGGGAUAACAGUUGGAAACGGCUGCGAAUACCGGAUAGUGGGGGAUGACUCGCGUCCUAUCAGCCUGUUGGUGGGGUAGUGGCCUACCAAGGCGACGACGGGUAGCCGGCCUGAGAGGGCGACCGGCCGCAUUGGGCUGGGUUCCGGCCCAAACUCCUACGGGAUGCAGCAUUGGGGAAUAUUGCACGAUGGGGGAAGCCCUGAUGCAGCGUCGCCGCGUGCGGGAGGACGGCCUUCGGGUUGUAAACCGCUUUCAGCCAUGACGCGGUAGUGGCAGAAGAAGCACCGGCUAACUACGUGCCAGCAGCCGCGGUAAUAC
rnacentral:rRNA from 1 species